UUCUUGCUGAAGGCGUGCUUGAAUGAGCUGCGGAGCUGCGUGACACAAAAUGAGGGGACAAAGUGUGUCACUGAUGCAAACGAGCUCCUCGGUGAGAAUUUCGAUCGGAGAUCAGGAGGAUAACGCCGUGCUGUUUUUCCAAGCAAUGCUCACUGCUGGUGGAGGAGGCAAUGACGGGGGCAGCUGUAUCCAUGCUGAUGUUUCCAGAAAAGAUAGAAGA